rfam:Candidatus Sungbacteria bacterium RIFCSPHIGHO2_02_FTLL_47_11 rifcsphigho2_02_scaffold_22623, whole genome shotgun sequence.
GCGCGUGUAGUUCAGUGGUAGAACGCCAUACUGAUAAUAUGGAGGUCGUAGGUUCGAUUCCUACCAUGCGCA